UAAUAAGUGUUUUAUGGCACUUUUUAAAUCCAUAUCCACCUUGUGUGCAAUGUCAGCCGGUUUUCUUUUUCGUCAAGAAAAAAAGGAUCGACCAAACAUCAACUUAUUCUAAUUGAACUUUUGUCUGAAAACUAUUAUGAAUAAACUAAUUCAAAAUA
rnacentral:misc_RNA from 1 species